GAAGACAGCGUUGUUAAAGACGACGAUUUUAUAUAUUGCGCAGACUGUGAAGAAGAGAAAGAGGGAGAGUGUCCGUACCAUCCGUUGUUCCUGAUCUUGGAUAACCCCGUUGUUCGAGACGGCAGUGAGACAGACCGUGCUCGUCUCACGGCUCCGUGGCCGCUCAGUAUCUGCGAGUCGAAAGUGAAGGGCGCCGGAAAAGGGGUGUGGACCAAUGCUCAACUUCCAGCUCAUCUUGUGUUUGGUCCCUAUGAAGGUCGUGUCCUAUCACGUCAU
rnacentral:lncRNA from 1 species